UUAGAAAAUCUUGCAAUGGAUGUUGUUUGCAGUUACAAUAUUCUAUGCUAUUUAAUUGAUUAUUUUUAACAGCAUUGCAGUGAAAUUCCCUUACUUGGUUCAAAAAAAGCUAAAGCCUGGCCAGGAAGUUAGACGUGUAGCACAACUUGAGUGGAAAAAUAUAGAGAGCGAUUUAACAAAGCCAUUUGUGGCAUCUGGAUUGCAGUUUGUUCCUCUCGCACUAUCGAUCCACAGCGACUUGUGGACAUGGAGCAGCAGUUGCAGGAUGCCUUAGCAGAGAUAGCACGUCAGAAGGAGGAGAUGAGGCAGAAAGAAGAGCAGACAAAUGCUCGAUUUGAGGCUCAGCAGCGUAUGUUCGAGGACGCUCAGCAGCGUAUGCUCGACCAGAUAUUGGCUAGGCUUCCAUCUGGAUCUAUGGGACCCACUCCACCCACCGGACCAUCAUCUUGAUUAUUAUAUUGUAUUUCUGUAUUUUGAAUACUUGACUAUUUCUAUUAUGUUUCUUAACACUUGAAUAUUUUGUUAUGUAUGACUAUAUAUAUGAUAUAGAAUUUUAAUAUUUUAUUGA